UUUUGAGACCAGUGUCACGAAUUAAUACAGAUCCCUCUGCUUUUUCCCACCCAGGCCUGCCUGCCUUGGAAGCCAAUGAUCUGGUCGAUAAAGACAGUCCCUUCUAUUAUGACUGGGAAAGCCUGCAGCUGGGUGGGAUGAUUGUUGGAGGGCUCCUGUGCAUCGCUGGA